UGGGGAAUUUUGCACAAUGGGGGAAACCCUGAUGCAGCGACGCCGCGUGAUUUAGAAGGCCUUCGGGUUGUAAAAAUCUUUUCUAUGGGAAGAAAAUGACAGUACCAUAGGAAUAAGGACCGGCUAAUUACGUGCCAGCAGCCGCGGUAAUACGUAAGGUCCGAGCGUUGUCCGGAAUCAUUGGGCGUAAAGGGUACGUAGGCGGGUAAGCAAGUUAGAAGUGAAAUCCUAUAGCUCAACUAUAGUAAGCUUUUAAAACUGCUCAUCUUGAGGUAUGGAAGGGAAAGUGGAAUUCCGAGUGUAGCGGUGAAAUGCGCAGAUAUUAGGAGGAAUACCGGUGGAGAAGGCGACUUUCUGGCCAUAACCUGACGCUGAGGUACGAAAGCGUGGGUAGCAAACAGG
rnacentral:rRNA from 1 species